CUUUAGAAUUUAUAAAAAUGAAAUUUACUGUUUUAAUUGUACUGGUCCUUUUGGCGGCUCAAGCAAGCUGUCGUAGACCUAAAACCGCACCCCCUGUAACCAAAAAGUCAAUGCGACCUGCCGUUAAUUUAUCAAUACGGUGGUAAACGAAGUAAUGUGUAAAUUUUAUUAUUUAAAAUUAAAUAAACGAUAUUGUUGCUAUAUGAAUUAAUAAUCGGAUUGUACAGCACAUUAGUUAUGCUUAAUUUAAUCGAACGAUGUUGUAACUGUAUGAAUUAUAAUAGUCAAAUAUGUACCAAUGAUGUGGUUAGAUUUAAAGUACAUUUUUAAUUUUCUUAUGUACGAAACCUGUUGACAUUUAAAUUAGUAUUAAAGGUAAUUAAGUAACCUUUCUAAAAAGUAUAGAAUUGUCUGAAGAGGUACUAUGUUGAUACAAAAUAACUAUCUUUAGAAAGUACUACUAUCAGAAAAAUGCAAGUAAAUUUGCACGCAAAUUUAUUCCCGCAUUAUUUACAAUUUUGUAGGGAUUGAAUAACAUAUUAGCCAUGCUUAAUUUAAUUGUUUCACCUAUUGAAGGAUAUAUAAGCCAAGUUUUUUACAUUGAAACUUUAGAAUUUAUAAAAAUGAAAUUUAUUGUUUUAAUUGUACUGGUCCUUUUGGCGGCUCAAGCAAGCUGUCGUAGACCUAAAACCGUAUACCCUAUAACCAGAAGGACAAUGCGACCUGACAGUGACAGUGAAAGGAGAGGAUGAUAAAAUCCUGCUAAUGGAACUAGAAGGUCACAGGUAGAUGUGGAAAUGCAUUAAACCAAUUUGUCUUAAUAUUCGAAUGGGAAAAUAAAGCGUAAAACUUCUCAAAAAUAAA